rnacentral:lncRNA from 1 species
AGAUCACAACAAGCUUUGGAAAAUUCUUAAAGAGAUGGGGAUACCAGACCACCUGAUCUGCAUCCUGAGAAAUCUGUAUGCAGGUCAAGAAACAACAGUUAGAACUGGACAUGGAACAACAGACUGAUUCCAAUAUGGGAAAAGAGUACAUUAAGGCUGUAUACUGCCACCCUGCUUAUUUAACUUCUGUUCAGACUACAUCAUGUGGAAUGCUGGGUUUGAUGAAGAACAAGCUUCGUCCAACACCAACUGAGUGACUGAACUGAACUGAACUGAAGUUUUAAUGGUUUAGAAACUAUUGAGAGAAUAAUUUUUCAACAGUAUCUAUGUGCUCUGCUCCUGGGACUGACACAGAUGGAGAAAAUCAGAAAAAGCACUGUGUAUGCUUCCAGAUUUAAAUCCUAGCGAGCACAUCACCAAGCAAAAUGUAGUGCUGUAUGAGAUCCAGUCCUCAAAUUUUGCUAGAGGAAUGGAGAGAUGGAAGUCUACAUAGCUGGCUGUUUGCAGCACAGGGAGUAUACCCUAGUUCUUCUGAACUCUAUUUCCUGAGUUGGGCUAGGAAACGCUUCAGUAAACAUCACGACAUGUCAGUGACUUUAUGGAAGACACAUGUAUUCUCUCUCACCAUACAAGUCUUGCCUGGGUUGGCAGGAUCUGCAGGCAGGCUGAUCCAGAAUCUGCAUGGCAAUUGA